rnacentral:rRNA from 1 species
UACGGAGGGUGCAAGCGUUAUCCGGAUUCACUGGGUUUAAAGGGUGCGUAGGUGGGCAGGUAAGUCAGUGGUGAAAUCUUUGGGCUUAACCCGAAAACUGCCAUUGAUACUAUUUGUCUUGAAUAUUGUGGAGGUCAGCGGAAUAUGUCAUGUAGCGGUGAAAUGCAUAGAUAUGACAUAGAACACCAAUUGCGAAGGCAGCUCACUAAGCAGCGAUUGACGCUGAGGCACGAAAGCGUGGGGAUCAAACAGG